CAAAAAGCGAAUACGACUUUCUGCUCUAAUGUAAACGCCUGCAGUUGUCCAUAUCGACAUGUAAAUCAUACAAUUACGUACGAUAUAGUCGGACUGCAGGUCUAAAAGAACCGACGAUCCGGUUCAAAUAAACCGGUUCAGUAAUUCUCGAACAAAGUAAUUCCCGGAAAAGAAUCGACGUCUCUUCAAAGUGACGCACGCACAGCGAGGGCCGCGUUAGUGAGGUGAUUUGAUGCUUGUGUGGUUUAUAAAGUAUUUUCACAUACAAAUUGUAAUUCAAAAUGUGUUUUUUUCCUGUCAGAAAAGCACAUGGAUACAUUUGUGAGAGGAAAAACUCGUCAAAUGCAGUCUUAUUGAGGCGUCUAAAGGUCUGAACAAACCUGGAAUUCCUUAACCUAACAGAGUCCACAAAACCCCAUCCAAUUGUCAUGGUGAUUUAAAAAUGCCAGCAGAUCUCUCAGGCAUUAUCAUAAUCAAUGGACAGGUCACCGUAGCCACCAGAUCCAGUCUGUAUCCAGAUCAGAG